GAGUUUGAUCAUGGCUCAGGAUGAACGCUGGCGGCGUGGAUAAGGCAUGCAAGUAGAACGCCCCGCAAGGGGAGUUGCGAACGAGGUAGUAAUACAUAGGUACAAACCCCCGAGUCAGGAAUAACCUACCGAAAGGUAGGCUAAUACUUGAUAGUCCCGCAAGGGUAAAGAUUUAUCGCUUGGGGAUUGGCCUGUGCAGUAUCAGCUAGUUGGUAGGGUAAUAGCCUACCAAGGCAAUGACGCUUAGGGGAGGUGAGAGCCUGGCCCCCACCGAUGGUACUGAGACACGGACCAUACACCUACGGGUGGCUGCAGUCGAGAAUCUUCCGCAAUGGACGCAAGUCUGACGGAGCGACGCCGCGUGACUGAUGAAGUCUUUCGGGAUGUAAAGGUCUUUUAUGAAGGAGAAAGUUUUGAUAGUACUUCAUGAAUAAGGGGUUGCUAAACUCGUGCCAGCAGCAGCGGUAAUACGAGUACCCCAAGCGUUAUCCGGAAUUAUUGGGCGUAAAGGGUAUGUAGGUUGUUAUGUUAGUCUUUUGUCAAAGCCUUCGGCUCAACCGGAGAAUUGCGGGAGAAACGGCAUAACUAGAGGGCGCGAGAGGUUUGCGGAACUCAUGGUGUAGGGGUGAAAUCCGUUGAUAUCAUGGGGA
rnacentral:rRNA from 1 species